rnacentral:rRNA from 1 species
UACGGGGGGGAGCAAGCGUUGUUCGGAUUUACUGGGCGUAAAGGGCGCGUAGGCGGUCGUGACAAGUCACUUGUGAAAUCUCCGGGCUUAACUCGGAACGGUCAAGUGAUACUGUCGGACUAGAGUACAGAAGGGGCAACUGGAAUUCUCGGUGUAGCGGUGAAAUGCGUAGAUAUCGAGAGGAACACCUGCGGCGAAGGCGGCUCACUGGGGCUUUUCUGACGCUGAGGAACGAAAGCCAGGGUAGCCGAACGG